AGAGAGGUGGCCGAGCGGUCGAAGGCGCACGCCUGGAAAGUGUGUAUUCCAAUUGUAUUGGAAUCGAGGGUUCGAAUCCCUUCCUCUCUGCUA
rnacentral:tRNA from 1 species